rnacentral:lncRNA from 1 species
UCGGCAGAACCGCUCAGCCCCGGGUGUAUGUGCUGAGAGCCUCGUGUGUGUGUGCGCGUGUGUGUGUGUGUGUGUGUGUGUGUGUGUGUGUGAGAGAGAGAGAGAGAGAGAGAGAGAGAGAGAGAGAGAGAGGAGAAGAGAGGGAGAGAGAGAGGAGAGAGAGGAGAGAGAGAAAGGGAGGGAGGCGUGGAUGUGCUUGGGGAGGGGGCAGGAGAAAACGAGUGUGUGUGUGGGGGGGAUGCUAGGCUACAGCAUCCCUUUUUCAAGACAGUGGAGGGGUGGGAGUGGGGGUGCAUAGGGAGGGAAGGCAGAUGUGUUUGCCCUCCUGCCCAGAAGACAAAGAAGAACUGCACAAAC